rnacentral:rRNA from 1 species
UUAGAGUUUGAUCCUGGCUCAGGACGAACGCUGGCGGCGUGGAUUAGGCAUGCAAGUCGAACGGUAUGGUGCUUUCGGGCAUCAGAGAGUGGCGAACGGGUGAGUAACACGUAGGUUAUCUACCCUCAAGACGGGGACAACCCAGGGAAACUUGGGCUAAUACCGGAUGAAAGCAACCGUGAGGUUGUUUAAAAGAUGGCUUUAAGCUGUCGCUUGGGGAUGAGCCUGCGUCCUAUUAGUUAGUUGGUGAGGUAACGGCUCCCCAAGGCAAUGAUAGGUAGGCGGCCUUAACGGGUGGUCGCCCACACUGGGAUUGAGAAACGGCCCAGACUCCUACGGGAGGCAGCAGUCGAGAAUAGUCUACAAUGGCCGAAAGGCUGAUAGUGCGACGCCGCGUGAACGAGGAAUCCCUUCGGGGUGUAAAGUUCUUUUAUAUGUGAGCAGUGCCGGCUAUAUUAAUAGUAUAGUUGGAGAGAUAUUAGCAUAUGAAUAAGGAUCGGCUAACUCCGUGCCAGCAGCCGCGGUAAUACGGAGGAUCCGAGCGUUAUCCGGAAUUAUUGGGUUUAAAGGGUGCGUAGGCGGCCAUUUAAGUCAGCGGUGAAAUUUUGCAGCUUAACUGUAACAGUGCCGUUGAUACUGUUUGGCUAGGAUUUGGUUGUAGUGUGCGGAAUGUGUGGUGUAGCGGUGAAAUGCUUAGAUAUCACACAGAACACCGAUUGCGAAGGCAGCACACUAAGUCAUUAUUGACGCUGAGGCACGAAAGUGUGGGGAUCAAACAGGAUUAGAUACCCUGGUAGUCCACACUGUAAACGCUCAAAAGUCGCUGUCGGCGGUACACAAUCGGUGAACAAGCGAAAGCAAUAAGUUAUCCACCUGGGGAGUACGACCGCAAGAUUGAAACUCAAAAGAAUAGACGAGGAGCCGCACAAGCGGAGGAACAUGUGGUUUAAUUCGAUGAUACGCGAGGAACCUUACCCGGGCUCGAACGGUGCAUGAAUAUACGAGAGAUUGUAUAGUCCUUCGGGACAUGUAUCGAGGUGCUGCAUGGUUGUCGUCAGCUCGUGCCGUGAGGUGUCGGCUUAAGUGCCAUAACGAGCGCAACCCUUGUCAUUAGUUGCCAUCAGGUCAAGCUGGGGACUUUAAUGAGACUGCCACCGUAAGGUGUGAGGAAGGGGGGGAUGACGUCAAAUCAGCACGGCCCUUAUGUCCGGGGCGACACACGUGUUACAAUGGGAGGUACAGAGGGCAGCUAUCCGGUGACGGAAUGCUAAUCUCCAAAACCUUUCUCAGUUCGGAUUGGAGUCUG